GACGUAGGGCGCAAGCGUUGUCCGGAUUUAUUGGGCGUAAAGAGCUCGUAGGCGGUCUGUCACGUCGGCUGUGAAAUCCCGAGGCUCAACCUCGGGUCUGCAGUCGAUACGGGCAAACUAGAGUAUUGCAGGGGAGACUGGAAUUCCUGGUGUAGCGGUGAAAUGCGCAGAUAUCAGGAGGAACACCGGUGGCGAAGGCGGGUCUCUGGGCCGAUACUGACGCUGAGGAGCGAAAGCAUGGGUAGCGAACAGG
rnacentral:rRNA from 1 species